rnacentral:rRNA from 1 species
UACAGAGGGUGCAAGCGUUAAUCGGAAUUACUGGGCGUAAAGCGCACGUAGGCGGUUUUUUAAGUCAGAUGUGAAAGCCCCGGGCUCAACCUGGGAAUUGCAUUUGAAACUGGGAAACUAGAGUUUGUGAGAGGGGGGUAGAAUUCCAAGUGUAGCGGUGAAAUGCGUAGAGAUUUGGAGGAAUACCAGUGGCGAAGGCGGCCCCCUGGCACAACACUGACGCUCAGGUGCGAAAGCGUGGGGAGCAAACAGG